rnacentral:rRNA from 1 species
UACGAAGGGGGCUAGCGUUGUUCGGAUUUACUGGGCGUAAAGCGCACGUAGGCGGAUCUUUAAGUCAGAGGUGAAAUCCCGGAGCUCAACUCCAGAACUGCCUUUGAUACUGAGGAGCUUGAGUCCGGGAGAGGUGAGUGGAACUGCGAGUGUAGAGGUGAAAUUCGUAGAUAUUCGCAAGAACACCAGUGGCGAAGGCGGCUCACUGGCCCGAUACUGACGCUGAGGCACGAAAGCGUGGGGAGCAAACAGG